rnacentral:rRNA from 1 species
AGUGAACGCUGGCGGCAGGCCUAACACAUGCAAGUCGAGCGGCAGCGCGGGGGCAACCCUGGCGGCGAGCGGCGGACGGGUGAGGAACACAUCGGAAUCUACCUUCUUGUGGGGGAUAACGUAGGGAAACUUACGCUAAUACCGCAUGAGACCUGAGGGUGAAAGCAGGGGACCGCAAGGCCUUGCGCGAGAAGAUGAGCCGAUGUCCGAUUAGCUGGUUGGUGAGGUAAAGGCUCACCAAGGCGACGAUCGGUAGCUGGUCUGAGAGGAUGAUCAGCCACACUGGAACUGAGACACGGUCCAGACUCCUACGGGAGGCAGCAGUGGGGAAUAUUGGACAAUGGGCGCAAGCCUGAUCCAGCCAUGCCGCGUGUGUGAAGAAGGCCUUCGGGUUGUAAAGCACUUUUGUUCGGGAAGAAAUCUUCCGGCCUAAUACGUCGGGAGGCUGACGGUACCGAAAGAAUAAGCACCGGCUAACUUCGUG